CAGAAUGCAAGUCGAGCGAACAGAAGGGAGCUUGCUCCCGGAUGUUAGCGGCGGACGGGUGAGUAACACGUGGGUAACCUGCCUGUAAGACUGGGAUAACUCCGGGAAACCGGAGCUAAUACCGGAUAGUUCCUUGAACCGCAUGGUUCAAGGAUGAAAGACGGUUUCGGCUGUCACUUACAGAUGGACCCGCGGCGCAUUAGCUAGUUGGUGGGGUAAUGGCUCACCAAGGCGACGAUGCGUAGCCGACCUGAGAGGGUGAUCGGCCACACUGGGACUGAGACACGGCCCAGACUCCUACGGGAGGCAGCAGUAGGGAAUCUUCCGCAAUGGACGAAAGUCUGACGGAGCAACGCCGCGUGAGUGAUGAAGGUUUUCGGAUCGUAAAGCUCUGUUGUUAGGGAAGAACAAGUGCGAGAGUAACUGCUCGCACCUUGACGGUACCUAACCAGAAAGCCACGGCUAACUACGUGCCAGCAGCCGCGGUAAUACGUAGGUGGCAAGCGUUGUCCGGAAUUAUUGGGCGUAAAGGGCUCGCAGGCGGUUUCUUAAGUCUGAUGUGAAAGCCCCCGGCUCAACCGGGGAGGGUCAUUGGAAACUGGGAAACUUGAGUGCAGAAGAGGAGAGUGGAAUUCCACGUGUAGCGGUGAAAUGCGUAAAGAUGUGGAGGAACACCAGUGGCGAAGGCGACUCUCUGGUCUGUAACUGACGCUGAGGAGCGAAAGCGUGGGGAGCGAACAGGAUUAGAUACCCUGGUAGUCCACGCCGUAGACGAUGAGUGCUACUGUUAGGGGGUUUCCGCCCCUUAGUGCUGCAGCUAACGCAUUAAGCACUCCGCCUGGGGAGUACGGUCGCAAGACUGAAACUCAAAGGAAUUGACGGGGGCCCGCACAAGCGGUGGAACAUGUGGUUUAAUUCGAAGC
rnacentral:rRNA from 1 species